rnacentral:misc_RNA from 1 species
GAUGAAGAACGCAGCGAAAUGCGAUACUUGGUGUGAAUUGCAGAAUCCCGUGAACCAUCGAGUCUUUGAACGCAAGUUGCGCCCGAAGCCACUAGGCCGAGGGCACGCCUGCCUGGGCGUCACACGUCGUUGCCCCCCACCAUCUACUCCUUCGGGAUUGCGGGGGGCGGAUGAUGGCCUCCCGUGCGCCUAGCCGCGCGGUUGGCAUAAAUACCAAGUCCUCGGCGACGCACGCCACGACAAUCGGUGGUUGCGAAACCUCGGUUACCCGUCGUGUGCGUUCGUCGCGCAUCGAGGGCUCGAAAAAAUGCUCGGCUCCGGCUCGGCUUUCAACGCGACCCCAGGUCAGGCGGGGUUACCCGCUGAAUUUAAGCAUAUCAAUAAGCGGAGGA